rnacentral:lncRNA from 1 species
GGGAAGACAACUGCGGGAGGUCGCGGGAUCCCUUGCGAUGCCUUCGACGUCGUAUGCGCCGGCGGCGGAAAGGAACGCCGGCGAAGCACAAAGGUUGUCCUGCCAUCGGCAAUCCGGGCUGGCGACGCCAGUGGGUCGGCUGCGCAUGCAUUUGGAGUGCGGCUGCUGCCUAGGAUCGCUGAAGUUGAGCGAGUCGUGCACGAAAUUGUUAAGGUUGAGAGGGCUCUCCCGUGAAUGAAGACCCGAUGGCCACGCAGGUCGGAGGAAAAGCUCAGACAAGUUGAUAGAGCGAGUUUGGAAAGAACAACUUCAACAAAUCAACAAGAGAUUCUCAGUAAACAUCACGAACUCUGCCGGACAUUGAACCACAUGAAUAAAUCAGCUCGUGCUUGACAGUCGACGGACUCAAGCUCGAGACUAAAAUCGUGAAGUCGGGCAGAUGUACGCCUGAGGUCGAAGUCAUGUCCGAGGUCGAUCCCGCAUUCCUGGUCGGAAUAGCAAGACAGAAAGGCUUGGGAAAUCCAACAACGCCAGC